rnacentral:rRNA from 1 species
CAGUUCGUACUGUGAAGCAUCCUGUUAAGUCAGGCAACGAGCGAGACCCACGCCCACAGUUGCCAGCGUACUCUCUGGAGUGACGGGUACACUGUGGGGACCGCCGCUGCUAAAGCGGAGGAAGGAAUGGGCAACGGUAGGUCAGUAUGCCCCGAAUAUCCCGGGCUACACGCGAGCUACAAUGGUUGGUACAAUGGGUAUCUACCCCGAAAGGGGACGGGAAUCUCCUAAAACCAAUCUUAGUUCGGAUUGAGGGCUGCAACUCGCCCUCAUGAAGCUGGAAUCCGUAGUAAUCGCGUUUCAACAGAACGCGGUGAAUACGUCCCUGCUCCUUGCACACACCGCCCGUCAAACCACCCGAGUAGGGUCUGAAUGAGAGCGCUUUCUUUGGAGGCGUUCGAAUUUGGGCUUUGCAAGGGGGGUUAAGUCGUAACAAGGUAGCCGUAGGGGAAUCUGCGGCUG